CUGCCUCCUUUGGAGUGUUUGGUGAGCUCUGACUCUUAGGAACAGCCCCCUUUAGAUACUGAAAGUCUGCUCUCAGGUCUUCAUGGAGCCUUCUCUUCACCAGGCUGAAAAACUCCAGCUCUCUCAGCCUGUCCUUGUAUGAAGAAGCUUUGUGACUCCUAUUGAAGUGACCGCUUUGAUAAGGGGGAUGAAGAGGAAGAGAAAACACUUGCUCAUUUUUAUCAGUGGUCACGACAGGUCUGGGAGGCCCUCUGCCAUGUCUCUCUGUAAUACAGGCACAGACCUGGCUAAGCUAGCCAAAAGGUUACAUCUCUAUUCAGAAAGGCCAUCCGCUGUCCUGAAUGCAUGCUGGAUGUG
ensembl:lncRNA